rnacentral:tRNA from 1 species
GGUAGGGUGGCCGAGUACAGGUGGCGGUUUGUAGCACCGUAAAUAGAGGUUUAAGUCCUCUCCCUAUCA